AUAUGUAAUUAUCUUAUUCGUUUGACUUCAGAUCAACCACAUCAAUUUCACAGAUGUAUUUUAUGAAUUCGUUCUACUGAGCCUUCUUGAAGGAAAAACAUCUCUUCCAACUUCUAGGCCUGGUACCUUCUAUUAUCUGCUCAUGGAAGUGAUGAUGAGGAUUCGCCCUCCUGGAGGAGCCUGGACAGAGUCUGCUGGGAACUUCUACCUCCUCAUUAAGGAUCAGAUGAAGGCGUGGUUGGACUCCAUCUUCAACCUCGAUGAGUCCAUCUAUGAAAGCCCAGAGAGGCUCUCGUGGCAGGUGAUGGAGAUUCUAGAAAUGCAGGUUGACUUCCUCCUGUCCAGCCUGGAUUAAGGGUCCCAAACUGAGCUGAG